GGAGGUGUGGCUCAAGUGGUAGAGCUCCAGCCUUGAGAAAAAAGAAAGCUAAACAACAGCUUGAGGCUCUGAGUUCAAGUCUCAGUACCAACA
rnacentral:tRNA from 1 species